rnacentral:misc_RNA from 1 species
UCCGGCUUAUCACCGGCAGUCCCUCUAGAGUGCCCAACUUAAUGAUGGCAACUAAAGGCGAGGGUUGCGCUCGUUGCGGGACUUAACCCAAUAUCUCACGACACGAGCUGACGACAGCCAUGCAGCACCUGUGUUCCGGCCAGCCGAACUGAAGGAAUCCAUCUCUGGAAACCACACCGGACAUGUCAAACGCUGGUAAGGUUCUGCGCGUUGCUUCGAAUUAAACCACAUACUCCACCGCUUGUGCGGGCCCCCGUCAAUUCCUUUGAGUUUUAACCUUGCGGCCGUACUCCCCAGGCGGAGUGCUUAAUGCGUUAGCUGCGGCACAGAGAGGGUUGAAGACCUCCCCACACCUAGCACUCAACGUUUACGGCUGGGACUAC